GCAUUUUCUUAUUACUAUUUCGUUCGAUCUGACAUCGUACAACUAUUAUUUUUAUUUUUAUUUUUAUUUUAUUUUCGCUGACAACUCAAAAUAUAAAAUAAGAUAUAUACAAGUUGCCUAGCUAAUAGCAAAAGUCGAGGCUCAUUCCAAAAUCUAUUACUAUUAUUAAUAUCCGUGGGAUUAAUUAAACCAUGAAAAUUUGCAUAACCAACGGAAAACAAAAGAUCAUUUGAA
rnacentral:lncRNA from 1 species